AAAAAGACCCUGCAUGGUACGAGGAUGGGCUAUUCUGAACAAAAAAAUACCUGCACUAAUAAACAGAGGAAUAUAGCCACCUGUCUCGAUUAGCCCCUAUGGUUACUUACGGGUGGCUAUGCACAUAAUUCUUUUUGUUUUAUAAUACUUAAUGUAGAAAAUUGUUGUAUCUUGUAUUUAUAAUGUGUGUGCAAAUUAUAUUAUUCUAUUCUAUUAUUCUAUUCCCACAAUCUUAGCUAUGGCCUGAUCUGCUACCCUAUGACGUAUACUUAUUAGUUAAACCAUGCAUAUAUAUGCUGCAGUGAUACAGACUUGCCGACUGAAACUUCUUCUUCUCUUCUCUUCUCUCCCCCGCUAAAUAUGUCCCCUCCAGUUACACAUCCUUAAAAGAGGCCCUGAACCAAAUGUUAACGUUAUAACUCAUAGCAAUAUGUAUUAUUAAUAGCAAUGCAUGAAGCUAGAAAACUCAACGUUAACUAUAAUCAAAGUAUCUAAAUAGUAUAAGCUAUUGAAAAAAAAAUGCUGCGAAAGAGAGUGGC